rnacentral:rRNA from 1 species
UGGCGGACGGGUGAGUAAUGUCUGGGAAACUGCCCGAUGGAGGGGGAUAACUACUGGAAACGGUAGCUAAUACCGCAUAAUGUCUGCGGACCAAAGCGGGGGACCUCCGGGCCUCGCGCCAUCAGAUGAACCCAUAUGGGAUUAGCUUGUAGGUAAGGUAACGGCUUACCUAGGCGACGAUCCCUAGCUGGUCUGAGAGGAUAAUCAGCCACACUGGGACUGAGACACGGCCCAG